UCAGAUACAGCCACUGCUCCGGAGUCAGUGCUGCGACCACUUUAUAUGGAUGUGCAAGCCACAACUCCUCUGGACCCUCAGGUACUUGAUGCCAUGCUCCCUUACCUAGUCAACUAUUAUGAGAACCCACUCUCCCGGACACAUGCUUAUGGAUGGGAGAGUGAGGCAGCCAUGGAACAUGCUGGUCAGCAAAUAGCAUCUCUGAUUAGGGCUGAUCCUGGUGAGAUCAGUUUCACUAGCGGUGCUACUGAAUCCAACAAUAUAGCAAUUAAGGGGGUGGGCAGGUUCUAUAGGUCACGGAAAAAGCAUGUGAUCACUACCCAGAUGGAACACAAAUGUGUCCUGCCCUUCACUAGAAGCUGAGGGCUUUCAGGUCACCUACCUCCCGGUGCAGAAGAGUGGAAUAAUCGACCUCAAGGAACUAGAGGCUGCUAUCCAGCCAGACACUGGUCUGGUUUCAAUCAUGACUGUGAACAAUGAGAUUGGAGUGAAGCAGCCUAUUGCAGAAAUAGGGCACAUUUGCAGUUCCAGAAAGGUUUAUUUCCAUACUGAUGCAGCUCAGGCGGUUGGAAAAGUUCCACUUGAUGUCAAUGACAUGAAAAUUGAUCUCAUGAGCAUCAGAAGUCACAAAAUCUAUGGUCCCAAAGGAGUUGGUGCCAUCUAUGUCCGUCUCCAGCCCCAUUGGCGUGUAGAGGCCCUGCAGAGUGGAGCGGGGUAUGCGUCUAGGACAGUGCCCACACCCUUAGUGGUGGGGCUGGGGGCUGCAUGUGAGGUGGCACAGCAAGAAAUGGAGUAUGACCACAAGCGCAUCUCAAAGUCAUCUGAACGUUUGAUACAGAAGAUAAUGAAGAGCCUUCCAGAUGUGAUGAAUGGGGACCCUGAACACCAUUACCCUGGCUACAUCAACCUCUCCUUUGCAUAUGUGGAAGGGAGAGUCUGCUGAUGGUACUGAAGGAUGUUGCCCUAUCCUCAGGAAGUGUCUGAACCUCUGCGUCCCUGGAGCCUUCUUACGUUCUGAGAGCAAUUGGCACUGAUAAGGAUUUAGCACAUUCUUCUAUCAGGUUUGGCAUCGGCCGCUUCACUACAGAGGAGGAAGUGGACUAUACAGCAGAAAAGUGCAUUCAGCAUGUGGAGCGUCUUCAGGAAAUGAGCUCUCUCUGGGAGAUGGUUCAAGAUGGCAUUGACCUCAAAAGCAUCAAGUGGACCCAACACUAGAAGAGUGGUCCCCUGACUUUAUGCUGGGCUAGUCCUUCCUGCCUCACC